rnacentral:rRNA from 1 species
AGAGUUUGAUCAUGGCUCAGAUUGAACGCUGGCGGCAGGCCUAACACAUGCAAGUCGAGCGGUAGCACAGAGAGCUUGCUCUCGGGUGACGAGCGGCGGACGGGUGAGUAAUGUCUGGGAAACUGCCUGAUGGAGGGGGAUAACUACUGGAAACGGUAGCUAAUACCGCAUAACGUCGCAAGACCAAAGUGGGGGACCUUCGGGCCUCAUGCCAUCAGAUGUGCCCAGAUGGGAUUAGCUAGUAGGUGGGGUAACGGCUCACCUAGGCGACGAUCCCUAGCUGGUCUGAGAGGAUGACCAGCCACACUGGAACUGAGACACGGUCCAGACUCCUACGGGAGGCAGCAGUGGGGAAUAUUGCACAAUGGGCGCAAGCCUGAUGCAGCCAUGCCGCGUGUGUGAAGAAGGCCUUAGGGUUGUAAAGCACUUUCAGCGGGGAGGAAGGCGAUAAGGUUAAUAACCUUGUCGAUUGACGUUACCCGCAGAAGAAGCACCGGCUAACUCCGUGCCAGCAGCCGCGGUAAUACGGAGGGUGCAAGCGUUAAUCGGAAUUACUGGGCGUAAAGCGCACGCAGGCGGUCUGUCAAGUCGGAUGUGAAAUCCCCGGGCUCAACCUGGGAACUGCAUUCGAAACUGGCAGGCUAGAGUCUUGUAGAGGGGGGUAGAAUUCCAGGUGUAGCGGUGAAAUGCGUAGAGAUCUGGAGGAAUACCGGUGGCGAAGGCGGCCCCCUGGACAAAGACUGACGCUCAGGUGCGAAAGCGUGGGGAGCAAACAGGAUUAGAUACCCUGGUAGUCCACGCCGUAAACGAUGUCGAUUUGGAGGUUGUGCCCUUGAGGCGUGGCUUCCGGAGCUAACGCGUUAAAUCGACCGCCUGGGGAGUACGGCCGCAAGGUUAAAACUCAAAUGAAUUGACGGGGGCCCGCACAAGCGGUGGAGCAUGUGGUUUAAUUCGAUGCAACGCGAAGAACCUUACCUGGUCUUGACAUCCACAGAACUUUCCAGAGAUGGAUUGGUGCCUUCGGGAACUGUGAGACAGGUGCUGCAUGGCUGUCGUCAGCUCGUGUUGUGAAAUGUUGGGUUAAGUCCCGCAACGAGCGCAACCCUUAUCCUUUGUUGCCAGCGGUUAGGCCGGGAACUCAAAGGAGACUGCCAGUGAUAAACUGGAGGAAGGUGGGGAUGACGUCAAGUCAUCAUGGCCCUUACGACCAGGGCUACACACGUGCUACAAUGGCAUAUACAAAGAGAAGCGACCUCGCGAGAGCAAGCGGACCUCAUAAAGUAUGUCGUAGUCCGGAUUGGAGUCUGCAACUCGACUCCAUGAAGUCGGAAUCGCUAGUAAUCGUAGAUCAGAAUGCUACGGUGAAUACGUUCCCGGGCCUUGUACACACCGCCCGUCACACCAUGGGAGUGGGUUGCAAAAGAAGUAGGUAGCUUAACCUUCGGGAGGGCGCUUACCACUUUGUGAUUCAUGACUGGGGUGAAGUCGUAACAAGGUAACCGUAGGGGAACCUGCGGUUGGAUCACCU